AUGCACGCUGGCGGCGUGCCUAAUACCUGCAAGUCGCGCGAACAGACGAGGAGCUUGCUCCUCUGACGUUAGCGGCGGACGGGUGAGUAACACGUGGAUAACCUACCUAUAAGACUGGGAUAACUUCGGGAAACCGGAGCUAAUACCGGAUAAUAUAUUGAACCGCAUGGUUCAAUAGUGAAAGACGGUUUUGCUGUCACUUAUAGAUGGAUCCGCGCCGCAUUAGCUAGUUGGUAAGGUAACGGCUUACCAAGGCAACGAUGCGUAGCCGACCUGAGAGGGUGAUCGGCCACACUGGAACUGAGACACGGUCCAGACUCCUACGGGAGGCAGCAGUAGGGAAUCUUCCGCAAUGGGCGAAAGCCUGACGGUGCAACGCCGCGUGAGUGAUGAAGGUCUUCGGAUCGUAAAACUCUGUUAUUAGGGAAGAACAAAUGUGUAAGUAACUAUGCACGUCUUGACGGUACCUAAUCAGAAAGCCACGGCUAACUACGUG
rnacentral:rRNA from 1 species